GUGGUGCAAUGGGUCAGCACAUCUGGCUGUAAAUCAGAAGGUUGGUGGUUUGAACCCACCCAGAGACA